UUCACGGAAGGUUUCGUUCUGGGAGCAGCUCUGGAGUGCCAACUUGAGCUUGGCCCCAGGGAACGUUUACAGACGAUGACAUUUUCUCAGAAAGAAGGAAUUUUCACUUGGGAUUGACUGAGCUUUGUAAAGCAACAUUUCACGGGGGACUCAAAUCCCGGAAAAGUGUUAUUCAUAAAAAAGGAAUAUUUUAUUUUCAGUACAGAUGGCUGGCAGUGACUGACUGUGUUUGUAUGCGUGUGUGUGUGUGUGUGUGUGUGUGUGUGUUUAAAAUACAAGAGAGUGGUGAUGACUUGGAGUCUUGAGUAACUGUUUAAGCUCCGUACUAUUUAAUGGUUCGCUUUCAAAAAGCACUUGUGCAAGAGGUGGGGAGAUGCAGUUACACUUUUUCUAAUGGUAGCUAGUUGACGCUUCUGCUUCUCACUUUGGUCAUUCUGUUCUAGCCAGAGAUCAUGGUGGAGAUGUUUCCAUUUCCCGAGUGUGUUCUUUAUUGGGCAGGUGGAAAGCAGCUGUUGGGGACCUACUGGAAAUUCUGACUCUCUGUCUUGGUGUAAAGGGCUGUUCUUUCUGUCCAUUUGACCAUAUGUGGCUGUAUGACCUUGGUUAAUUCAGUGUCAAGUUCUGGACAGAAGCACUAGCAGCCAGUGUGCAUGUCAGCUGACCUUGUGCCCCUGUCAUGGCAGCUCACCGUAUUUUGGCUCCAGGGUGAGUACAACUUGGAAAGAGCCCCCAGCUGACCUGCAGUGGGUAUGGAGUAUGGACAAGAAGGGACACAUUCCCCGGUAUUUUGUGACUACAGUAUAACUCAGCCUACCCUAACAUAAACCGCAAGGUGCUGGAUUCUUCCUGAGCAAGAGGAGUGUGCUCAAGAGGCCCAUUGGUAUUUCAUGACCUGAGGCUGAGUAAAGCAAGUCCUGUGCUGACGUGGGGAGUGAUUUCUGAUGCCUCAUGUCCUAAAACAGGAGAUGAUAGAGAAUCCGCAGGAUUAGCCACCGAGGCAUCGCACUCUCGUGUGUCAUUACAGCAGUGGUAUUGAGACAGCCCUUGGAGACAGAAAAACGGUGGGGCAAUAAUUCUCUGAAAGCAGCCGCGUGUUCCUCUUCUUCAUUCAAUUCAGAGUGCUAGAUAACAUGGUGCCUUACUGAGCAGGAGGCUCCGUCAUGAACUCUUACCCUCUACGGAGAAAUGAAAAGAUGCAGCAUCGAUGUGGCCUUUGGGAGCUCUCAUUACAGAUGUGGUUCAGUUUCUGAAUUCCUCCGAGAGAAAAGAAGACCCGAGAUUGGCAGUCGGUUCUGUCUCUUGCAUCAGCUGCAUCUAUGGGCCAUUCAUGAUGCUCUUGUGGGAUUCUUGCCAGCGAGUUUGCUGCUCUAAAGAUCUUGGCCCAGACUGAGUUCUCAGUAGGGAAAGGUUAGGAAGAGUCCUUGGAAAGGCAGCGACAACGAAUGUGCCAAGAAGAGAGAAAUCGGUCUCUUGCCAACAGCCACACUAGUCAAUGGAAACAUAAUCUAUACUUGGUCCGAAGAAUGUCUUUCUCCCACCCAUUCAUAAGAAUGAAGUCAUGUGUAGAAGUGAUCUGGUGGUCCAGAAAGAUCCAGUAAUCCUGUGGAAAGGUGAGGCUAUUCCUGCUAUAGACACAUAGCACCUACUGCCUGGAAAACCUCUUAACUGCCAUCAUCUGGUACUCCCAGUAGACUCCUGCUGUAUACCUUCUUUGUUCUAGUUGGAUAAAUGCUGAUGAUAUCUUAGGAUGAGGGACAAUGUGGUAUGGAAAGGACUUGAGUCACGAUUAUUACUGUCAUUGAUGGUUUUAUUUUCAAAUGACAAUAUAUGCCAGGUAUGUUCACAUAUAUACUCUUUGCCAGGUAUGUUCACAUAUGUACUCUUAAUAAAAGAUAAAUGCUAAAAACCAUGACUCAUUUAUGCUUUCACCACCUUUAAUGACCAGGAAUACUUCUUCGCAUUUCAUAGAUGUUUUGUCCAUGUUUGAAAAAUAAAUGCAUGCUGCUGUCUGCUCCUCCCCUGCGGGACUGUGUGGCCAGCACUGUGGUCCCAGGCCUUGACAUUGUAUUCUGAGGGGUGAGCCAACGGUCAGCGUGGGGAAAGGUGGUCCUGUCUGCACGGUGCUAACUUGGUGCCCUCUGCACAGAGCCAGCAGGUCACUAAUGGCUGAGAGGAAAGACCAUAGCCUGCCCCAGCACCCUGCCCGUCAGCAGGCAUGUACCCUACAUUUUCCAACUAUCUCCCCUUCAGUAUUUAAGCUAGUAAAAAUGUUCUGUACUGGUCACCUGCUUAUAUGUAACCCCAUCUGAAGAUAGAGUUUCAUCAGAAUGGGACUUCAGUUCACUGAGCAAGUAUUUAUUGGGUCACUGCUAUGUGUGGGGCACUGUUCUAGGUACUGGGGAUACAGCCGUGAUGAAAACCCCCUCAACAUCAUGCCUUCACAGUGUGUGUGUGUGUGUGUGUGUGUGUGUGCGUGCGUGUGUGUGCGUGUGUGUGCACGCACGCAUGACGGGGCAGGAGUCAGGAGGCAGACAGCCCGGGAAGUGUUCUCCUUAUCUUUUGCUGCACAACCGGCUGCCCUUAGACUCAGCGACUAAAAAGCAUAGCAACCAUUUCUCUUGCUCAGGAAUCAGCAGUUUGGGUGGGGAUCCUUGGGGGAGGCUCAUACGGGCUUCAGAGGGCAUCUUGCCACUUCUUGCCAAGGCCGCAGCAGGCCCAUGGGCAGUGGAAACCAGAGUCCCUUGUUGGAAGGACAGUGAAAAGGGCUGUUCAAAUACUAAAAUACAGAACAUUUUUCCCCUUAUUUCUGGGGACUCUUUCUGAACAUGCCAUGGUGUUUUUGAUUUGCUUUGUAAUGAUGAGUUCCCUUGGACUUGGGGAUACGUAUUGAAUGGGGCAAACCCCCUCACCCGCCCCCAGGGGCCCUGCCUUGCCGCUCAGCACGUGCCGCCCACCAGCUUCCAGCCUCAUGUCCCAGCCAGGGUUAGGGGGAUGUCAAGGCAGGCUUUUUCUCUUCCCUUGGGUCCACCACCCCAACC